AUGGCAGAGCAAGAGCAAAGAAAAAUCCCUUUGGUUCUAGAAAAUCUGAAAAAGAGGAAGGCUUAUCAAGCCCUCAAAGCCACUCAGGCAAAGCAGGCACUUUUAGCAAAGAAGGAGCAGAAGAAAGGAAAACAGCUCAGGUUUAAGCGACUGGAAUCAUUCCUAUAUGAUUCCUCGUGGCAGAAACACGACAAGCUGCAUCUCAGACAACUAGAAGUGAAACCUCAUGCCUUGGAAUUGCCAGAUAAACAUUCCUUGGCCUUUGUUUUACGCAUCCAAAGAAUUAAUGGUGUGACUUCACUGGUGCAGAGAACCAUUGCAAGACUUUGCCUGAAGAAAAUUUUCAGUGGUAUCUUUGUAAAAGUCACCCCAAAGAGCCUAAAAUGUUGCUUAUAGUAGAACCUUAUGUGAACUGGGGAUUUCCAAUCUAAAGUCUGUCCAAGAACUCAUUUUGAAACAUGAACAAGCCAAGGUCAAGAAUGAGACCAUCCCUCUGACAGACAGCACAGCAAUUGAGGAGCACCUGGGGGAGUUUGGUGUCAUUUGCCUGGGAGACCUCAUACAUGAAAUUGCCUUCCCAGGGAAGUAUUUCCAGGAGAUCUCAUGGGUCUUGCACCCUUUCCACCUCUCGGUGGCCCAUCAUGCUACCAAGAAUAGAGUGGGCUUCCUCAAGGAGAUGGCCUCACCUGGGGUGAACACAUCAAUCAGCUCAUCCACCAGCUGAACCCA
rnacentral:lncRNA from 1 species